AAAUAUGAAGAGACUCAUUGAAUGCUAUUGAAAUAUUCAAUCUGCAAAGUCAAUAUAGAUUAUAUGAAGAUUUCUGAAAAGUGAUAACAGGUGAAGAUUGAUACUUUGUUUUGUUUUUCUUCCGCCACUUCACCAGUGUCUUUGCGCACUUUAAGGUGAAGGAUGGAGAUAAAUUUGGGGAAACUUGCAUUUGACGUUGAUUUUCAUCCGUUAGAUAACUUGUCGAC
rnacentral:sRNA from 1 species